rnacentral:pre_miRNA from 1 species
AACAUACUCCCUCCGUCCCAAAAUUCUUGUCUUAGAUUUGUCUAGAUACGGAUGUAUCUAAUACUAAAAUGUGACUUGAUACAUCCGUAUUUAGACAAAUCUAAGACAAGUAUUUUGGGACGGAGGGAGUACAUA